GGAACGUUGUAGACAGGUUGUCAGUCAGUCGAGGAAGGAGACACCGGAAGAGGAACGUUGUAGACAGGUUGUCAGUCAGUCGAGGAAGGAGACACAGAACAAACAUGAUAUCAGAAUAUGUGUUUAAUAGAGAGUAGUUUUACUGGUGCACACUAGUUUUGAUCAGAGCCCUUGGUCAAAAGUAGUGCACUAAAAGCAGUGCACUAAAAGUAGUGCACUCGUUUUGAUCAGAGCCCUUGGUCAAAAGUAGUGCACUAAAAGCAGUGCACUAAAAGUAGUGCACUAGUUUUGAUCAGAGCCCUUGGUCAAAAGUAGUGCACUAAAAGCAGUGCACUAAAAGUAGUGCACUAGUUUUGAUCAGAGCCCUUGGUCAAAAGUAGUGCACUAAAAGCAGUGCACUAAAAGUAGUGCACUAGUUUUGAUCAGAGCCCUUGGUCAAAAGUAGUGCACUAAAAGCAGUGCACUAAAAGUAGUGCACUAGUUUUGAUCAGAGCCCUUGUUCAAAAGUAGUGCACUAAAAGUAGUGCACUAGUUUUGAUCAGAGCCCUUGGUCAAAAGUAGUGCACUAAAAGCAGUGCACUAAAAGUAGUGCACUAGUUUUGAUCAGAGCCCUUGGUCAAAAGUAGUGCACUAAAAGCAGUGCACUAAAAGUAGUGCACUAGUUUUGAUCAGAGCCCUUGUUCAAAAGUAGUGCACUAAAAGUAGUGCACUAGUUUUGAUCAGAGCCCUUGGUCAAAAGUAGUGCACUAAAUGGGGGAAUGAAUAGGGUGCAAUUUGAGAUGCAGACAAGACUGUGAUGAAGUGUGUUAUUGAGUUUAUGCUUGAACUAAACUGAGUGGUGGUGAUGGAAAUACACUCAUGUAGAGAUGCCAAAGAGAAGAGGCUCUUCUCUAUCAUAUCUAUGUUGGCCAGUGCAGGCUUUUGUUCCAACCCAGCACUAAACAUUUGGUUUAAAUCAUGGCCCUCUGUAGGUGUCAGCCAAACGGCUGACCGGCUUCUCAGGGUUCACUGUCAGUUUCCACAGCCUCCUGUGUGUCAGGUAUAGCCAAUAGGAUGGUCAGUCUGUGCGAUGCUCUACUCUCAUAGGUCCACUUCCCUGUCUGUCUCUGGUCUGGGUGGGCAUUUUGAUCCCAUGGCAACAGCACUUUGCCAUGAUCAUGUGACUUUACAGAGAGACUAGCAGUUACUGUACACACCAACAACGUACACUUUAUGAUCAUGGAUCUCAAAUGAUCCAAAAUCAACCUCUCUCUCUCUCUCUCUCCCACUUAACUUUUCACCAUCUCUCUCUCUCUCCCACUUAACUUUUCACCAUCUCUCUCUCUCUCCCACUUAACUUUUCACCAUCUCUCUCUCUCUCUCCCACUAACUUUUCACCAUCUCUCUCUCUCUCCCACUUAACUUUUCACCAUCUCUCUCUCUCUCCCACUUAACUUUUCACCAUCUCUCUCUCUCUCUCCCACUUAACUUUUCACCAUCUCUCUCUCUCUCCCAAACUUUUCACCAUCUCUCUCUCCCCCCACUCUUAACUUUUCACCAUCUCCCUCUCUCUCCCACCACUUACCUUUCCUCGCUCUCCUUUUCCUUUCAUCUCCACCCCUCAACAUGCCCCCCACCACCACCACCUAUGGGUCUGCUGUUGCUGAUGAACAGAGUGAAAUGAGAAGGUGGGUGUAUUAAAACUGGUAAAGGACCAGGCCAAGUUAAAGAGUGAUUUAAGGAAGCUGGGGUGUAAAGUGAUGAUAUUGCGGUUCCCGGAACAGGAAGAGAAUCCUCAGGUGAGGGGUUUACAGAAUGUUGAAAGGAGAGUGAGGGAGGUACAGAACGGUGUAAAUAUAAUGUGGUAUGGUUACAUUACCGUGUAGGUAUUGGAUUAUGACUGCUGAAUGUCCCUUUUUUUGGGGGGUGUGGUUGGCGAAGCUGCUGUCGCCCCUGCAAUGCUCCUGUACCCCCCCCCAGCUCAAGCUCACCCCGUCGUUACCGCCCCCUAACACUUCCUCCCCACCGGACCACCCUCCGAUUCCCUCCUCAGACAGACCCAUCUACCCCCCGUGAAGGAGCGUAUUGGAGAAUAUUGAUGUCUAAAAUAAAGUGUAUAUAUAUAUAUAUAUAUAUAUAUAAGGUGGAUAUGUGAAGUGAAGAGCGUAUAGAUAUAUAUAAGGUGGGGGAGGUGUGGCAAAAUAAUGAUAUAUAAAAUAUAUAUAUAUAGUCGAUUUAACGUCGAUUUCUCCUUUGGAGGAUCUGGGAUGUAUUGGAUAAAAUGUGUUAAUAUUGUACAUUUAGAAUAAAAACAUUAUUUAAAACAAAGAAAAGCAAUUCAAAGUCAAGACAAAUGAACUGCUUGUAUUGUGAAGUCACUGUGAUAACUGACACGGUCUCUAACGAUGGUAUUUAACAAGACAAUGAAUACGAAAACAUCAACCACAUACCUUGUACACACACAAAAGGUGUGGUUCUGGAGCAGUUCUAUUGAGUUCUGUUGGAUUGAUCCCAUUGAGUUCUUUUGGAGCCCAUUGAGUUCUUUUGGAGCCCAUUGAGUUCUGUUGGAGCCCAUUGAGUUCUUUUGGAGCCCAUUGAGUUCUUUUGGAGCCCAUUGAGUUCUUUUGGAGCCCAUUGAGUUCUGCUGGAGCCCGUUGAGUUCUGUUGGAGCCCAUUGAGUUCUU
ensembl:lncRNA